UACAGAGGGGGCAAGCGUUGUUCGGAAUUACUGGGCGUAAAGGGCGCGUAGGCGGCCUUCUAAGUCGAACGUGAAAUCCCCGGGCUCAACCCGGGAACUGCGUCCGAUACUGGAAGGCUUGAAUCCGGGAGAGGGAUGCGGAAUUCCAGGUGUAGCGGUGAAAUGCGUAGAUAUCUGGAGGAACACCGGUGGCGAAGGCGGCAUCCUGGACCAAUACUGACACUGAGGAGCGAAAGCCAGGGGAGCAAACGGG
rnacentral:rRNA from 1 species